rnacentral:lncRNA from 1 species
AUCAACCACAAUUUAAAAUCCAGAAGUGGUAAAAUCAUAAAAUCAGUACCAUAAAAUUCUAGACAUUUCAAGGAUCAUGUAGGAAAAAACCUGGUAUUAUUUGGACUUGUAUUCAAUUAGUUAUGAUUUUUUGAAGUUCAUGCACAAAAUGAAAUUCAAAUUGAAGUAACAUGAAAAAUAAAAAAAAUGAAUUGAAGAAAUUCCAAACGCGUCCCAAAACGACGUCGUUUUGGAUAAGUGGAAU